rnacentral:rRNA from 1 species
CUCAGAUUGAACGCUGGCGGCAUGCCUUACACAUGCAAGUCGAACGGCAGCACGGGGGCAACCCUGGUGGCGAGUGGCGAACGGGUGAGUAAUACAUCGGAACGUGUCCUGGAGUGGGGGAUAGCCCGGCGAAAGCCGGAUUAAUACCGCAUACGCUCNGGAGAGGAAAGCGGGGGACCUUCGGGCCUCGCGCUCAAGGGGCGGCCGAUGGCGGAUUAGCUAGUUGGUGGGGUAAAGGCCUACCAAGGCGACGAUCCGUAGCUGGUCUGAGAGGACGACCAGCCACACUGGGACUGAGACACGGCCCAGACUCCUACGGGAGGCAGCAGUGGGGAAUUUUGGACAAUGGGGGCAACCCUGAUCCAGCAAUGCCGCGUGUGUGAAGAAGGCCUUCGGGUUGUAAAGCACUUUUGUCCGGAAAGAAAACACGUGCCCUAAUACGGUGUGUGGAUGACGUACCGAAG